AUAAAGUAUUUUUCCCAAAACAAUAAAGGAUAAUAAUAAAGCACACAUAUUUGAUCUUCAUUGGUGAACUAUUCUGUUUUUAGCUCAAGUACGUGGAACCAUCCUGACCUUAUCUCUUCCAAACAGACAACUUUAUCUCUUCACAUGGAUAAACUUAGACGGCAGCUGACCAGCUAAAAUAAUUCACAUGCCUCCACUGCCAAUCUUAUCUGUUCCAGGCAACCCGCGCUCUACUGCUCCUUGUUCGUCAAAGUUGAGACAGAUAGAGGAUGCAGUAGGGGAGGCCAGGAAGGGUGAUGGCCGCAUGCCUCGUCUAUGUGGCUGCUCGGCGACGUCGAGCGGGUGGCGGGCUGGAGGAGUUGGGUGCUGGGCCUACCCUGUGAUGAGCUUGGUCCUCGCCCGCGACCCCGUGUUCAUACCAUCGGUCGGAGGUCGAGCAGACCGCUUGAACGGCGCUGCUACUGCUCGUUUGGAGUGCACGGGCCGUCGGCUUCUUCGAGAGGCUUUGGGGCGCUGGUGGCGCAGGCGCCACGGGUCUCACCGCGAUGUUCGGGCAGCGGGCCCGGCUUCGGACGACGAUCAAUUCGGGGCCACGGAGAGGAGCGGCGGCGAGGUCGGCGCCGCGUCCCGCAUCUCUGGACUGACUCCCGGCCUCGGCCGUUGUUGUCGUCGGCCUAGGGGGUUCCUUUUACCCCAUCUCUCCCUGUCCAAUCUCUCUCUUCUCUCCCUGGACAGGAACCGGAGAACUGCGCUGCCAUUGGCGAUCAUGGAGCCCAGUGCCCCGCCUUCCUCCACCUCGGCUCUGACCCCCUCUGCACCAGAUCCACCUAGCCAAGACCUCUGUCGCGUCGCCCCCGCCGAAACUCCAGGGCCGCCCGCUUAGAUCCCGAGCACCGUCGUCGAGCGGCGCCUCCGUACGCCGUGCGUCCUUUCCUUCAUUGAUAUGGGCCAGCAGCUUCGUUUCUUUUGGCAACUAAAAAAUAGAGGUAUGGGCCAGCCGGCCGGCUCUGCUUAGUUUUAAGUGUACGUCGCGAUUUCUCUACGUCGUGUUACUCCUGAUUUGUAUGUUCGGUUUUUGAUUUUCCUCAAACGGACAAAACCCCAUAACAGGACUAAAUAAAACGAAACCAAACCAAGAAUAUCUAUUCUCUUUAAUAGUAGGUAUAGAUAUAUAUUUGCUUGCUGUUAUUUAUAAUAAUGUUUAGCAUCUUUUAUGUCAAUAAAAGUGGCAAGGGUAGCCUUUGUCAUGCUUAUUUCGCCAAAUCUAUAUGUUGCUGUUUCAAAACAGAAAGUUUAUCGUUAUCGCAAAAAUCCCCUGGAAAAGUCAUAAUGUGAUAAAAUGUUGAAACUUUUUGCACAAUAAUCUUUGAUAAAUUUUCUACAGUAUGGUAAAUUUUCAUAAUUUUUGAAGUUAAAAAAGUAUUUAUACUCUUGCAUUCUUUACAAAGAUGUACUGUUUUGGCAGAUUGCUGUUAUGUUUGCUUGUUUAAUGAUUCUAUUUGAGGAUAUGAGUAUUAAAUAUGUAGAGGCAUUUAGUAUGCAAUGUUGAAUAAUAAUUUAAGUGAUUUGCUAUAGUACAGAAUGAUAAGGUUUUUUGCAUUGGUUUAUACUAACUUAUCUCACGAGUUCUUGUUGAGUUUUGUGUAGAUGAAGCUUUUGAGAUUUAGGAAAACUGUGAUAUGAGAGGAACUAAGGAGACGCAAAAGCUCAAGCUUUGGGGUUGUCGGUGUCAAAACCGGCGGAUCUCGGGUAGGGGGUCCCGAACUGUGCGUCUAAGGUCGAUGGUAACAGGAGACAGGGGACACGAUGUUUACUCAGGUUCGGGCCCUCUCUAUGAAGGUGACCAACAGGACAGCACCUACAACGGACUCUAUCGAAGUUCGGAUCCGUACACUCACCUAAGGGGCUACUUCCGUUAAGGAUUCCCCUCCCAGAGGACGGGCGGCGCAGACGUGCAAGAGGAGGUCCAAAAUAGCUUUUUGUUGACCGUACUCUUUAUUUUGAGCCUGUACUAUGCCCUUUUUCCUCCGUUCCCGACCCCGAGCAUGUCAAAUAGCCGGGUUGUGGUUUUUCUUUUUUAUAUAUGAAUUUAUUAUUGGCAUAUUGCUCCACUCCCAGUAAACUUUAUCCGAGCUAAUCUUAAAAUA